GAAGGAGGCAGAGUGAGGCAUGACUGCAAUAGUCUGAAAAGCCACAGUGACCUGACAACUCUUCAGGGACAGGCACUGCUUAUCCGGGUGAGAAUGAACAUGGAGCCUAAAUGCUUACCUGGACCAUAAAGUUCAUCACUGCAACCAAACCUGUUCUUUUGUUCUUACUACAAGAUCAAAUCCCCCUGCUUUGUGCUUCUAACAUCAGCCCUAUCCUCUGUCCUCCCAUAACCUCAAGAUACGUUUAGUUUCAAAACACGAUAGGAAAACAAUUAACAGUGUGAUUUAUUUUAAUUUCACCAUAUUACAUUAGCAUACAAAUAAUUUGUACAUUUAAAGGGUAGCUCCACUGGUGUAAGACAGCAGGCUGUAGUUCAAGGACCCAAGAUAGGGAGAUAGAUUUCCUCUAUCGCAGUAGUGAACAGAGACAAAGUGCUUACUAGGCAAGUUCACAUUCACACAGAAUUUGACCCCAUCUAUUAUCUAAUCCCCUCCCUAUCCCAGUUGUCAGCUUUCUCAAUGGAAUGACAAGGGGAUAUAGCUUAAAAAAAUGUCAAUGAGCUGAAAUCAUCUCUACUGAUUCUACCAGGAACCUAUAAAGGAACAAGGUUUUUUUUUGUUUUUUGUUUUUUUUCUUCAAGACUAGGCAAGUGAAGCAGUGGGAAUGGAGAAGGAACAAAGAAAUCUACAAACUGGUUGUGAUCAAUUAGUUGUAAAUACCACUGCACUUGGAUCAGCCAGGAACAAGUUCUUUGAAAUACGCCAGAGAAUUAACAUUAUCAGUGGGCCAAAUGUGUGGAAGAUGUAUUAUCCUAGUCUCUUUUCCUGUUCUCUAGAAGUAUGUUACUGGCUCUUAAAAGAUUUCACAAAAAUACGCUUUGAGGAGAAUCACAGCUUUCUUGAUUAGUAUCUACAAGGCACUUAAUGCACAUUUUCAGUGAGGAAGCUGAUGGAGAGAGAAAGAGUAACAUGAACCAUUCUCUUAUACUGAACGCCAAAAUUCUGGAUGUAAAAUAACAUUCAGUUGUACUGCCUCUGUAAACAGGGCCAAUUCACAUCAUUCCACAGCGUGGCCAUGUCAAUAGGUUUCACUGCAGGUUUUCAAAAAGCAGAUUCCACAUCACCCAUCUCCACACACACAGUCUUCAGCUGUGAAUAAUAUUCGAUUGUCACACGGCCGUUCUCUCUGCCAAAUCCUGAAAGGAGGAGAAGGGGUCAGGUUGAGCCAUCACUACAAUAGUCUGAAAAGUCACAAUGAUCUUCAAAGAUGAGCACUGCUAAUCAGGGCUAGGGAAGAAUAUAGAACCUAAAUGUUUUGGAAUAAAGCCUCAAUCCACAUAUUAGCUGUGAAUGGAGCUAGGCAUGGGGAAAAUGACCCACUGGCAUUUGGGGAUAGGGAUAGGGAAAUAUACAGAUCUUGUUUCUCACCAAUAGGAAUCUUAAUUUCAGGUAUCUACUAUUCUGGGUUGAGGUCUGAAAAAUGCUUGGAUUUUAUAUCAAGUGUUAAAGGCAAUCUCUACAAUAAUCAACCUGACACCCUUGAAAGCUGAUGCUAAUUUAAAACUUUACACAAUAGGCUUAUUCACCAUUUCUUAAACACCUAUAAGAGCAACCUAGUAACUUAACCUACCCACUCAUGUUGGUGAGGGGUCACUGAAGGUCCCUCUGAUUACUCAGAGUUCAAGACACUGCCCAAUUACUAGUGGGUGAGGUUACUGUGCUAAAAGGGUAGUAUCCCACCCUUGGCCCUGCCUGUACACCCUGUGCUAGACUUAGGUAGGCUCUGCCUUCCAAGGGCAAGGCCGAGGUCCCAAAUAUGUGCAUUUCCAGGGAGCACCACUCAAAUGGUAUCACACACAAAGGUCCUGGGAAAACCUCACUCUGUCUUUUGUUCCUUUCCAAAUCCCCUAAGCACACAGCUGGUCAGGCCUGUUAGGCCAGGUGUUGCUCUGCACGUCUGGCCAUCUUUCUCGCUCUCUCAUUCCACAUAGCAUGGUCUGGUCCAAAGGAAAGGGAAAGUUAGGAGGCCCUCCAAAGGCCUAAGCUGCUGAUUCCAAACAAAUAAUUCCCUGCACUGAGGGACUAUCAGAAACUUAACAUGUAAUGUUAUAUGUUACAUGUUAAUAAGAUGGCACCUUGGUUCCCACCUGCACUUGUGUCUGUGUGUACGACUCCUCUGAGUACCCCACCGGGACAAAUAAGACUGUCAAAUUAACACCCACCAUCUCAUCAGUGUUCAUCAGAGUUUAUAUAUUUGCCAACACUGUGAUGGCUGUAAAUAUUUGCCACAGAAACUAGAGGUCAGACUCUUAGAAUGGUGCCUCGACAAAGUCCAAACCAAUUUUCACUCUAGAAGAACAGCAUGAGAAAUAUGUAAAUGAAUAUUUACAGGCAACAAACUCCAAAGAAAGAACCUCAAGGUUCUGGCUAUACUCCUGAUGCCUCAAACCUUCUCCUGAUAUACCAGACUUACAAAUUUAUAUGUUGUGGUAACAUAUGUCUGACUAUAAAAUGAAUGAAAUGAAUGAGCAGUGGCUAAGGAAACACACUCCUAUAUGCCAUCAAGGGUAAUGAAAACGAUUAUAAUUGAUUGCUUAAUGAUAAAUUUAAAGAUUUUGUUAAUUUGACAUAACAGAGGAAACAAAGUUACUGAGCUAUUACUUGAAAGACACUUUACCUAAAUGGAAUCUAAAAACUCCACAGUGGAUGAUGAUGGACAUCCCUGAUACAGAACCCCUAAGGGAGUGAUUUUAUGCUUACAGAAGUCACAGGCUGUGAAGAAAAAGUAUUCUACCCACAAGAUAAACCUUUUUGAGAUAUCUAUCAGCAGUUCACAAGCCAGGCUAUACAUCAGAACCCUCCAGAAAGAUUUAGGGAGUGUUGGGUAGGGGAAGAUGCUUGACUUCCAUUCCCAGAGACUGCUACAGUGGAUCUGGGGAAGGACCAGGAACCUGUAUUUCCCCAGGUAAUUCAGAUAUGCAGACAGGUUUAGGAAUACUGGUUUAUAAGGUCUGAAUUACGACCUAGCUCUAGAGACCUAGUUUGCAUUCACACCUCCCAGCUCCUCACCUGACUUCUUAUAUCCACCAAAGGGCAACUCCACUGGGCUGACGUUAUAGUUGUUAAUGAAGCACGUCCCAGCCUGAAGCUCAGCUACCACUCUAUGAGCCCGUUGGAUGUCCCUGGUAAAGACGCCAGCUGCUAGUCCAAAAGUGGUAUCAUUGGCUCUUUCUAGAACCUCAGCUUCAGUGUCAAAUGAUAAAAUGGACAUAACAGGCCCAAAGAUCUCUUCCUUCACACAGGUCAUGUCGUCUCUGCAAUUAGUUAAUACACAAGGUCUCAUGUAAUAUCCAUCCUUUAAUUUGGGAUCUUCAGGUACAUAUAUAUCUCCACCACAUAACACUUUAGCACCCUGCCGAAAAGGAAAAAAGAUAUGUUGUAUUAAAAAUAUAACCCCAAAAUGCAUUCCUGAAAUGUUAAUUGUAUCCCGAACAAACACAUAGUCUUCCCAGUGCAGGUACAAAGCAGAACACAGCCAGGGAUGCUAAUAGUCCAAUGAAUAAUAGUCAUACGAAUAUUAACAUGAAAAGGGCACAAAGCAUGUGAUUUAGGAGUAGUAUAAUCUUCCCCAACCCCACCCUACUGCCAAUUAUUUCUUACCUGCUCCUUUGCCACUUUGACAAACCCAAGGACUCGCUCCAGGUGUGGUCGGUUGAUGAGUGGACCCAUCCUUGUAUCUUCCAGAAGGGGAUCUCCAAUUUUAAUCCUUUGGGUCUGUUUCACCACUUCCUCUGUAAAUUUAUCAAGAAUUUCUUUCUGCACAAAUACUCUUGUGCCAUUACAGCAAACCUAAAGGACAAACACAAGACAUCAAUUUCUAUGUGUGUAA
rnacentral:lncRNA from 1 species